rnacentral:rRNA from 1 species
CCUACGGGAGACAGCAGUGAGGAAUAUUGGUCAAUGGGCGUAAGCCUGAACCAGCCAAGUCGCGUGAGGGAUGAAGGUUCUAUGGAUCGUAAACCUCUUUUAUAAGGGAAUAAAGUUCGGGACGUGUCCCGUUUUGUAUGUACCUUAUGAAUAAGGAUCGGCUAACUCCGUGCCAGCAGCCGCGGUAAAACGGAGGAUCCGAGCGUUAUCCGGAUUUAUUGGGUUUAAAGGGUGCGUAGGCGGCCUUUUAAGUCAGCGGUGAAAGUCUGUGGCUCAACCAUAGAAUUGCCGUUGAAACUGGGAGGCUUGAGUGUGUUUGAGGCAGGCGGAAUGCGUGGUGUAGCGGUGAAAUGCUUAGAUAUCACGCAGAACCCCGAUUGCGAAGGCAGCUUACCAAUCUAUAUCUGACGUUGAGGCACGAAAGCGUGGGGAGCAAACAGGAUUAGAUACCCCAGUAGUC